GCGGGAGGGGGCGCUGCGGGGCCGACCGGCCGCGGCGCGGAGGAAGUGCCGUCUUCCCGCCGCCUCAGCCGCCUCAGGCACGCCGCGGGGGCCGCCUCAGCCGCGCGGGCCGCGAUGUCUUCCCGGCCCGGGCGCGACGACGCGGGGGCCGGGGGCGUGCGGCGGCCGCGGGAGCCGGCCGAGCAGGAGCUGCAGCGGCGCCGGGAGCAGAAGCGGCGGCGGCACGACGCGCAGCAGCUGCAGCAGCUCAAGCACCUGGAGUCCUUUUAUGAAAAACCUCCUCCUGGGCUUAUCAAGGAAGAUGAAACCAAGCCAGAAGACUGUAUACCAGAUGUACCAGGCAACGAACAUGCCAGGGAAUUUCUGGCUCACGCACCAACGAAAGGACUCUGGAUGCCACUGGGGAAAGAAGUCAAAGUUAUGCAGUGUUGGCGUUGUAAACGGUAUGGUCACCGAACAGGCGACAAAGAAUGCCCUUUCUUUAUCAAAGGCAACCAAAAGUUAGAACAGUUCAGAGUAGCACAUGAAGAUCCCAUGUAUGACAUCAUACGAGAGAAUAAAAGACAUGAAAAGGAUGUAAGGAUACAGCAGUUGAAACAGUUACUGGAGGAUUCUACAUCUGAUGAGGAUGGAAGUAGCUCCAGUUCCUCGGAAUGUAAAGAGAAACACAAGAAAAAGAAAAAGAAAGAAAAGCAUAAGAAAAGGAAGAAAGAAAAGAAGAAGAAGAAGAAACGAAAGCAUAAGUCUUCCAAGUCGAAUGAGAGUUCAGACUCGGACUGACAACAACUUGACUUGUUCAACAUUCUCUUCUCCCUAAUCAGACACUGUGGCCAAAGACCAGAGGAUGUGGAAUCGGGGAGGACUAGGAGAGAGCCGCCUAGAGAGCAGGGUAUUUGGUGUCACGUGUGUGAAUUCUCACCUGCCUUCCAGCAAAGAUGUGACCCAGGAGGGCCAAUCUCCACCUGUGCCCUGGACCCCAACUCUCAGCCAGCAGUGGAGGGCAGGGAUUAAGAGCACUGGCUCUGGAGGAUCCACACUGCCUGGUUUUGAAAUCCAGCUGCACCAUUCGUGAGCUAUCAGACUGUGCAAGUUGCCUGACCUCUCUGUGCUGCCAUUUCCUUGACAGAUAAUAUUUACCUCCUAGAAUCAUCGAGAAUUAAGUGACUUGAUAGUUGUAAAACAUCUAGAACACAGUUUGGAACAUUUCAAUUGCUAAAUGAAUGUUAGUUGCUCCUGCAUACUUAUGCUAUCAUCAUUAUCUGUUCCUGCUUCCUCAGGGAUCUUCCUCCUUUCCUUAUCCCACUGCACUCUCUGUUGCCACUGGCAUUUAAAAACUGUUUUGAAAUUAUAACAGUAGGGACACCUGGCUGGCUGAGUCA